rnacentral:rRNA from 1 species
CGCGUAGGCGGUUGAGUAAGUCAAAUGUGAAACCCCCGGGCUUAACCUGGGAACUGCAUUCGAUACUGCUUAACUAGAGUAUGGUAGAGGGAAGUGGAAUUCCGGGUGUAGCGGUGAAAUGCGUAGAUAUCCGGAGGAACACCAGUGGCGAAGGCGACUUCCUGGGCCAAUACUGACGCUGAGGUGCGAAAGCGUGGGGAGCAAACA